rnacentral:sRNA from 1 species
AACCUGCGGAAGGAUCAUUAAUGAAUUAAAUGGCGGGUUGUUGCUGGCCCACUGGGCACGUGCACACUUUGUCAAUUCAUCCACAUACCUUUGUGCAMUCUCCAUGGAUUGGCUUGCUCUAUAGGGUUGUUAUAAAUGACUCUAAGCCUUUCUAUGUAUUACAAACAUAUUUCAGUCUUUGAAUGUAUUUGCGAUUAACGCAUUUAAAUACAACUUUCAGCAACGGAUCUCUUGGCUCUCGCAUCGAUGAAGAACGCAGCGAAAUGCGAUAAGUAAUGUGAAUUGCAGAAUUCAGUGAAUCAUCGAAUCUUUGAACGCACCUUGCGCUCCUUGGUAUUCCGAGGAGCAUGCCUGUUUGAGUGUCAUGUAUACCUCAGCCCUCUUGGAUUUUCUGAGAUGGGACUGGAUGUGGAGGUUGCUGGUCUUUCAUCAAGUCAGCUUCUCUGAAAUGCAUUAGUGUGAAUGUUACUGAAUGUUCCCCAGUGUGAUAAUUAUCUGCAUUGUUGGAACUUUGGUUGAUCUAUAUGUUCAUGCUUAUAACUGUCCUUGACUGGACAAUAUACUUUUGCAUUU